UUUUAAUGUUUAUAAUUGAUUAGUUGGACACUCCUUACUCUUUCUUGUUAGUUAAUUCUUUUGAAAGCAGUUCUAAAUCUCACCAUUCAUAUAUAAUGGCAGUGCAGUGAUGAUUUUUCUCACAUUACUCAUUUGUGUUAACACGGUGACGUAUCAAACAGGGUACUAGACAAAUCAUCUAUUAAGGAAUAAAUUGAGAACUACAGCACCUUCAUUUGCUAAUUCACUAAUGAAUCACUUGUUCAACAUCCACCGCCUUCCCUAUGUAUGCUAAGGGCACUUGUUAAGGAUCUCAAAGAGGAAAUUAUAUGUAGAAAAAGUUUCUUUUUAUAGUUUCAAUGUGUUGAAUACACAUUCUUUAAACUUCUAAACAAAUGCAUCAAGGACACUUGUUACACAUUAGUAUAAGAUUUAAUUUUGAGCAUGUCAACAUCAACUACUAUCCACUUUAUAGCUCGAAGAAGACUCCAAUUAAGCCUCUCCUUCCUUCCAUUCCAUGUGUUUCAUAUUCUAUAUUCGCUACUCAGUUGCAGCUACCAACACUUGUCAUUAAUAGGCAUGAAGAAAUCAAUUCAAACACAACCAACGUCAUCAAAAUCUGCUCCAUCAAGGUUUCAUUUCACAUAGUCACCAAUAGGAUUGAGCUGCCCUCCACUCGGCCAACAGACACUACCCGAUCUGAUGUAUCACAUAUGUCCUUACUUGAACUUAGAUUUCACUUCUUCCAAAUGCUCCACGCCAUGACAAAAAAAUAUUGCACUUGGUCUAAUUAAUUAAUUGAUAUUUCAUGACAAUAAUUUAAUUUAAAAGACCGCGCGUAUAAUUUAAUAUAACUCAAAGGCUAAUGGUGCAAACUGAAUAAAAAUUGUUGGGGUGGAAAUCUUACCUUCCAACAAAUGAACUCGAAAAAUCAAUCUAAGAUUCAAGUUAGAUUCUUAAGAGGUUCUUAAUUGAUAUGUUUAAUUGUUUAAGGCUACAAGUGUUCAAUGUGAUUAUUAAGUAAAGAAACAUGUGAUUAAGUAAAAAUAAUGGAAAAUGAAAAUACAAACGUAAAAAAUGCUAUAUGGCAAGAAAUAAUAAAGAUAAAAAAUGGUAUUAUUAUAAAUAAAAGUGUGUUACAUACAUUGCAUUAUCUAGUAGGCAAGUUAUAGGAACGCAAAUAAUUUUUUUAUUUUUGUUUUUAACUAAGAGGAAUGGAAAUAAACUUAUUUACAUGGAAUUUGAUUCUAUUGUUUAUAGAAGGGAAAAUAAACUAACUUCUAAAAUUUAUGAAUGUCACAUGUCUUCUAGAAUUUUUGGCACUGAAGUUCACUUAAUUGUUCUUUAAAAACUUCUUAUGCACACUCCUUGCAUUGACUAUUUGUUUAUAGAAAGUUUUUUUUAUAGAAAGUUAUGCAAUUUGAAUUUUCGAAUGAUAUAAUAAAUUGACAUAUAACAAAUACAAAGGACCAAUUUGGAAAGAAAAAUAAAAAACUUGAAGGACCAAACUAGAAAACUAGUCAAACAUAAAGAAACGCAAACGUAAUUUGACUCAACUAUUUCAUAAUUCCAUGGGACAUUUCAACACAAUGAGUUUUAUUGUGUUUCUCACUAGUGAGACAAAUACAAGAGACUGAAAUUCCUCACCCUUUCAACACAGCUCAAGCAGGGAAUAUAGAAGCAUUGCACAUUUGGCAGAAAAACAACAUUCGUAUAGAAUUUAAGUCGCCAAAUCCAACUCCAAUAAGUGUCAUAAAGAAAAUGUUUUCAGGUCCAAAUAUCAUGAACUCCUUCUAUUAAUUGAGAUUUACCUCUACUAAUUUGAUUAAUACUACUAGUAUUCAUUAAAAAAACAAGAAGCUAAAACAUUGAAUUCUAUUACGUACAUUUGGGUGAUUACUUUUUUCUUUUUUUUUUUCUUUCGAAAGGUGACUAAAAAUAAAUAAAUUUCUCGACUCAUAUAUAACUUGGAGAACCAAAACGCCGAUUUACUACUAAUAAAAAAUAAUUAGAAAAUGAAACACUGAUAAAAUAAAGAAAUAUCCCUACCCCUCCCAGCAUGUCAAAAGCAUGAUAUUCUGAAUAGGACGCCACGUAUUAACAACACAAAUCCAAACCAUCCACGUUUACCUCGAAUUACCCAACAUCCUUAGACAUAUGUACGCUUAAGAUUUCAC
rnacentral:lncRNA from 1 species